rnacentral:rRNA from 1 species
CGACCGGCGCACGGGUGAGUAACGCGUAUCCAACCUGCCCACCACUUGGGGAUAACCUUGCGAAAGUAAGACUAAUACCCAAUGAUAUCUCUAGAGGACAUCUGAAAGAGAUUAAAGAUUUAUCGGUGAUGGAUGGGGAUGCGUCUGAUUAGCUUGUUGGCGGGGUAACGGCCCACCAAGGCAACGAUCAGUAGGGGUUCUGAGAGGAAGGUCCCCCACAUUGGAACUGAGACACGGUCCAA